rnacentral:rRNA from 1 species
UGGAAUACGCGUGCUAUACAUGCAGUCGAGCGGACAGAAGGGAGCUUGCUCCCGGAUGUUAGCGGCGGACGGGUGAGUAACACGUGGGUAACCUGCCUGUAAGACUGGGAUAACUCCGGGAAACCGGAGCUAAUACCGGAUAGUUCCUUGAACCGCAUGGUUCAAGGAUGAAAGACGGUUUCGGCUGUCACUUACAGAUGGACCCGCGGCGCAUUAGCUAGUUGGUGAGGUAACGGCUCACCAAGGCGACGAUGCGUAGCCGACCUGAGAGGGUGAUCGGCCACACUGGGACUGAGACACGGCCCAGACUCCUACGGGAGGCAGCAGUAGGGAAUCUUCCGCAAUGGACGAAAGUCUGACGGAGCAACGCCGCGUGAGUGAUGAAGGUUUUCGGAUCGUAAAGCUCUGUUGUUAGGGAAGAACAAGUGCAAGAGUAACUGCUUGCACCUUGACGGUACCUAACCAGAAAGCCACGGCUAACUACGUGCCAGCAGCCGCGGUAAU